rnacentral:rRNA from 1 species
GACCAGACUCCUACGGGAGGCAGCAGUGGGGAAUAUUGCACAAUGGGGGAAACCCUGAUGCAGCGACGCCGCGUGAGCGAUGAAGUAUUUCGGUAUGUAAAGCUCUAUCAGCAGGGAAGAAGAUGACGGUACCUGACUAAGAAGCCCCGGCUAACUACGUGCCAGCAGCCGCGGUAAUACGUAGGGGGCAAGCGUUAUCCGGAUUUACUGGGUGUAAAGGGAGCGUAGACGGCGAUGCAAGCCAGAUGCGAAAGCCCGGGGCUCAACCCCGGGACUGCAUUUGGAACUGUGUGGCUGGAGUGUCGGAGAGGCAGGCGGAAUUCCUAGUGUAGCGGUGAAAUGCGUAGAUAUUAGGAGGAACACCAGUGGCGAAGGCGGCCUGCUGGACGAUGACUGACGUUGAGGCUCGAAAGCGUGGGGAGCAAACAGGAUUAGAUACCCUCGUA